rnacentral:rRNA from 1 species
AGGACGAAUGCUGGCGGUGUGCUUCACACAUGCAAGUCGAACGGGAUAGCAAUAUCCAGUGGCGGACGGGUGAGUAACGCGUGGGAAUCUGCCUUAAGAUGGGGGAUAGCUAGCCGAAAGGCUAAUUAAUACCGCAUAUGUAUGUAUUUCGACAGUUUUACAUAUAAAAGGAGUAAUCCGUCUUAGGAUGAGCCCGCGUACGAUUAGCUAGUUGGUAGGGUAAAGGCCUACCAAGGCUACGAUCGUUAGGUGGACCGAGAGGUCGAUCACCCACAAUGGAACUGAGACACGGUCCAUACUCCUACGGGAGGCAGCAGUGGGGAUUUUACGCAAUGGGCGAAAGCCUGACGUAGCGACACCGCGUGAACGAAGAAGCCUUUUGGGGUGUAAAGUUCUGUCGGCUGGGAAGAAAAAAAUGACGGUACCAGCAAAGGAAGCAUCGGCUAACUACGUGCCAGCAGCCGC